rnacentral:rRNA from 1 species
CCUAACACAUGCAAGUCGAGCGGCAGCGACAUAAACCAUCCUUCGGGUGCGUUUAUGGGCGGCGAGCGGCGGACGGGUGAGUAAUGCCUAGGAAAUUGCCCUGAUGUGGGGGAUAACCAUUGGAAACGAUGGCUAAUACCGCAUAAUGCCUACGGGCCAAAGAGGGGGACCUUCGGGCCUCUCGCGUCAGGAUAUGCCUAGGUGGGAUUAGCUAGUUGGUGAGGUAAGGGCUCACCAAGGCGACGAUCCCUAGCUGGUCUGAGAGGAUGAUCAGCCACACUGGAACUGAGACACGGUCCAGACUCCUACGGGAGGCAGCAGUGGGGAAUAUUGCACAAUGGGCGCAAGCCUGAUGCAGCCAUGCCGCGUGUAUGAAGAAGGCCUUCGGGUUGUAAAGUACUUUCAGUCGUGAGGAAGGUUCAURCGUUAAUAGCGUAUGGAUUUGACGUUAGCGACAGAAGAAGCACCGGCUAACUCCGUGCCAGCAGCCGCGGUAAUACGGAGGGUGCGAGCGUUAAUCGGAAUUACUGGGCGUAAAGCGCAUGCAGGUGGUUAGUUAAGUCAGAUGUGAAAGCCCGGGGCUCAACCUCGGAAUUGCAUUUGAAACUGGCUGACUAGAGUACUGUAGAGGGGGGUAGAAUUUCAGGUGUAGCGGUGAAAUGCGUAGAGAUCUGAAGGAAUACCGGUGGCGAAGGCGGCCCCCUGGACAGAUACUGACACUCAGAUGCGAAAGCGUGGGGGAGCACACAGGAUUAGAUACCCUGGUAGUCCACGCCGCAAACGAUGUCUACUUGGAGGUUGUGGCCUUGAGCCGCGCUUUUCGAGCUAACGCGUUAAGUAGACCGCCUGGGGAGUACGGUCGCAAGAUUAAAACUCAAAUGAAUUGACGGGGCCCGCCCAAGCGGUGGAGCAUGUGGUUUAUUC